UACGGAGGGAGCUAGCGUUGUCCGGAUUUAUUGGGCGUAAAGAGCUCGUAGGCGGCUCGGUAAGUCGGAUGUGAAACCUCCAGGCUCAACCUGGAGACGCCAUCUGAUACUGCCGUGGCUUGAGUCCGGUAGAGGAGCAGGGAAUUCCUGGUGUAGCGGUGAAAUGCGCAGAUAUCAGGAGGAACACCAGCGGCGAAGGCGCUGCUCGUGGGCCGGUACUGACGCUGAGGAGCGAAAGCUAGGGGAGCAAACGGG
rnacentral:rRNA from 1 species